UUCGGAGGAUUCAGAGGAAAAAUGCCCAAGUUUGAUGGAUUACUCUUGGAAAAUAAAGAUGGCAAUGACUGUUGUACUUGGUGGUGUGUGUGUACCUUUAUCUUUAUUAUUUAGGAUAGUUUUCGAUUGUAAUAAACCCGUGCGCGCUUUUGCUGAUCGGAAAAUGCCGGAUUUGCUGACACGUGGCGCCAUCCUAUACGCAUUCACUGUUAUAUGUAGUUCGAGUCGCUGCUCCUAUUAAACGAUUAAGCGAUAAUGGGCAACUGUGCUAUUACAAUUUGUUUGAAUUAACUGGA